rfam:Hordeum vulgare subsp. vulgare, WGS project CAJW01000000 data, contig: morex_contig_162494
UUAAUACUCCCUUCGUUCGAAAAUACUUGUCAUAAGAAUGGAUGUAUCUAAAUGUAUCUUAAUUCUAGGUACAUCCAAUUUUGUCAAUUUAUGCGAUAAGUAAUUCCGGACGAAGGGAGUAUCAU